AGCCUGUUGGUUUUUAUAACAGGUAUUUUCUGCCCGGUGGGUUAUUAAACGGCCGCGGUACUCUGACCGUGCAAAGGUAGCAUAAUCGCUUGUUCUUUAAUUGGGGACUGGUAUGAAAGGAACUUUGAGGGGUCCGCUGUCUCCUCCGUCUGUUGGAAUUUGCUGUCUUUGUGAAGAAGCGAAGAUUUAUAAAAAAGACAAGAAGACCCUAUUAAGCUUUUAUUUUUUGAGCCAGCCUAAGUUCUUUAAAGUAUCUUCCCUAGGUGAUAUAAAAUUUGGUUGGGGUGACUAAAGAAGAAAGGAUCUUCUUUUUGUGCGAAACCUUUUGUUUAAGGUUGACCCGGGAUGUUCCGGGUGAAAGAAUUAGUUACUAUAGGGAUAACAGCGUAAUCUUCCCGGAGAGUUCUUAUUGAGGGGAAGGGUUGCGACCUCGAUGUUGACUUAUCGUUUCCUUUAAAGGUGUAGCAGCUGUAAGGGUUGGUCUGUUCGACCAUWAAAAUGAUACGUGAUCUGAGUUCAGACCGG
rnacentral:rRNA from 1 species